GGGGCCAAGAAAAACUGCCUCCUGUAUUUGAACGGUGUAUUUACUCUACUAUCAAGUCUUUUUACGAGAAAGAAAAA
rnacentral:lncRNA from 1 species